GUGCACCCAUGCAAGCAGGGAGAGCAGCAGAGGGAGAAGGAGAAGCAGAUUCCACUCUGAGCAAGGAGCCUGACAAGGGGAUCAAUCCCAGGACCCUGGGGUCAUUCACCUGAGCUGAAGGCAGACGUUUGACUGACUGAGCCACCAAGGCACUCCCGAAGAAAUCGUCUUUAAAUUCUCUGGAUGUAGCUCACUUAAAGGUGAUAUACCUAUUUUGGAACAAGGCAUUUAUACACAAAGAAACCUGUGGAUGUACAGAGCAGAACACAAAUUAAUAUAAAGUAAGUCACAAGUGAAAUGCCAUUAAAACAAGCACUAUUUGUGAUGGUAAAAGUUAUUUUCAUAGUGAUCGUGUUAUAUCACCUGUUACACUUGUAAGUUUGUCCGUCUCUAGAGACCACUAGUCUCUAGGUAAAACUAGUGGUUCCAUAUUCUGUGUUCUCAAAGGGUGCUUAUUCAUUAGUGUCUAUACUGUAGUAUGACGACAGUAUGUACCUGUCUUGUCUUUUUCUCCACAGGAUGAGCAGGGAUGAUAUUCUCCUAGUUGUUCCCAUGGUGGACGGCAAAUGAUUGUUGAAAGGAUGAAUUAAAUAUUGCUUGGAGACACUACACAUCUCUCAAGGUGAAAGAGAAGAUGAUCAAGAAAAGGAUAACCACAUUCUUUUAGGAUCUGUGACAAGAGAGGCUGGUGUGGAAACUGGACAUGAGGGAAGCUGAGACGAUGAAGCCCUCUGGUAGUGCGCGUCGCUCAAAUGCUUUCAGAGGCCAUGGCGCAGUGGAUAACCUAGAGAUCUGCAAAGGGCCUAGUUGGAGCAGCCAUUUUGCCAUUCAAGAAUGUAGGCCCAGCAAGGCCAGGUCUUCAAAUUUUCAUGAGAA